GCGAAGUUGUCGAAGAUGCGACGGUGCUACGCUGUUAGAACAUUCAUCGGAGCAUUCAAGUGUUACCUAUUAUAAGCUGCCAAAAGACCAAGCAGUGCGAAGCUCUUGGCUGGCAGUGGUGCCUGCUAAUUUCCACUGCAAGGAUUUCGUCCACGAAUGUUAUCAUAGGUUACGCGCGACUCCAGAGGCAAUUUGGAAUCUCGGCACGAAAUCGUCUGAUGAAAACCUGAGGUGGCCGACGCACAACAUUUUGAACGUGCCACGGAGGAUCAAGGCAAACAACGAGAGCAAAAAAGGUGCACUCUGAAGGCGGAAAUGAAGCACGAUCUGGCUUGCAUCUGGUGCAUGAAGAAAUUGCUGACACAUUAGUUGCAGUCUACCAACACCAACAGGGUGGAAAACAAAGGUCGCCAUUCCGAUUAGCUGCUAUCUCCCAGUUCAAGCACUUUUGCUGUCUGGACACUGGUUCCUGUGGAUGGGGUGUUACAAGCUUCACUGUCUGAUAUAGAAGUGAUGAGCAUCCAUAAGGACACAUGCCAGAAAGGGAGUCUCUUUG